GAAAAGUCAACAACGGGUGCACUAAAGCUAUCAAGCAGUAAGAAAAAAUCCGGUGUAAAUGAAGACGACCUAUUAUCAGAACUGAUGUCGGAUACAAUUCAAAACAAACCAGUGAGCCAAGGCUCUGCAUGGGAUACAGACUGGAAUGACAUGAAGGAUAGUUUUGUACAAGACGACAAUUGGACGCAAAGUUUCUUUCAACAAGAAACUAAAACCAAUAUGGAGAAGGUUUGGUUUGCGCAUGUUAUUUCUGUAUAGUUUUUUUGUGCUUGUCCGGUAGGUAGUAUUUUUCUAGUUUUGUUUUACGGACUAUUUUGCCCUUCCCCAUUGUUGUUGCGCUUGAAUCUUUCGACGUUUUCUCAAAUCGCCCCCCGUUUGCCCACCUUUAGAAAAUCAUUUUGCGGAAACGAAAUUUGCUUGCAAAAAAUGCAGAAACAAAAAAAAAAUGCAGAAAAAAAAAUGCAGAAAGAAAAAUGCAGAAACGUACUUCGUUUCCAAGAUUUGAUUUUUGUUGGGGAAACCACUGUUUUUUAAUUCGCCCACCAUCGAGAAACAUGGCUAGUAAACAAUGUUUCCCCAUCAUGUGUUUGCCAUUUCGCCCAGGGCUUAGGGACCGGUCAUUAUUUAUGGCGGGGGGUGGCACCGAAGAGAAAAAGGUUGGGUAAACAAAAUUUUGAGGGAGUAAA